rnacentral:misc_RNA from 1 species
CAAAUGGUCAUUUUGAGCAGUAGCUAAUAAAAUUCCACUUGCAUGAUUUUCUUUUAUCUUUACAUGCACAAAUGUUGUAUAUCCAAAAGAUCUUAACAAUGUCAUCUUGCAGGAAUCAAAAUCUUAAUGUAAAAUUUUCACUUAAUCAAGCAUAUAGAUUCGCGAUGCAACGUCUUGUACCAGCCAAUCAAAUCCCUCAAGUAGCCCGUCUCCUGUGUAUGCACUACAUCCCACGAUUCGCCAGUGCCUGCUGUUGUCCAUAGCCUCCAGAUUAAGCACUUUGGCUAUUUCAUCCGGAGAAAGAGCACCUUGUAUGUCCUGCUUAUUUGCAAAAAUCAAUAAUGAUGCUCCUGAUAGCCUCUCCUCCUUCAGAAGAUUAUGUAGCUCAUAUCUGCAGUCAUCUAGCCUUCUCAGAUCAGAACUAUCCACAACCCACACCAAGCCAUCAGUUUGCUCAAAGUAGUUUCUCCAAUAAGACCGUAUUGUUUUCUGCCCCCCAACAUCCCAUAUAUUGAGGGUAUACUUCUGAUACGUAAUGGUUUUGAUGUUGAAGCCAAGAGUUGGACUGAUGACGCUUGUGUCUUCACCAUUUAUUUUUAACACUAUUGUUGUCUUACCAGAGUUGUCAAGACCCACCAUAAGGAUGCGCAUCUCCUUUUCUUUUCGCUUGAUCUUCCGGAUAAUGCUGAGAAGUCCCAUCGUGAUCACUCCUAGUUUCCUGAAUUACUAGAACUUCGCCGAAGAGGAGAGGAAUGGAGAUGCGAGGAUCUCUCUGUUGUUGUUGUCGGCUUCAAUGAGGUUCGCCGGUGAUUACCUUUCCUUCGCCGGAGUUGUCUGCUUGCCGCUCGCUGCUCGCUGGUCAGAGCAGCUGGAGCUGCUGUUUGUUGUUGUCGUCCUCACUGGAGCGGAGGAGAAGAGAGAAAGAGGCUCGCCUGUCAGAUCUGGUCCUCGCCCGUUUUCCGGCUGGUUUUCGCGGCUGCUCGCUGGCCUGCGCCGUUCGCUGCCAGGAGAAUAGAGGAGAGGGAGAGGUAGGGGAGGAGGAGAUGAGAGGAAGAUGAAGAUUUGAUCUCAGCCGUUGGUUUGAAUGAUAUAGACGAUCAAGAUUUGAUCUUGUAGAUUUGG